CAAAAUGGGUACAGGUGAGCUGCCCUUUUUACAUUUUCAUAAUAACAGUGGAAUGCUAUUGCCCCCUAUAUUAUCGUCUUAAAUUUGAUUUAAUUAAAACCAAAGUGACACUAACAGAAGGGUGUGCUGUCUACCGGGUGCAAAGAUACGCGAUGUGGACCUGCGGUUGAAAAGGAUCCUAAAAGGAGCAGGGCUUUGGAGCGGAGCCCGGAGCUGGAGCGCGGAGCAGCUCCAGAGCAGUGGAGCUGCAGGAUUUUGCCUGGAGCUGGAGUGGAGCAGGAGCACCGCUUCAAAGCCCUGUAUUUCAUUUGAUCAAAUAUGACUUAUUGUGCUUUGACUUAUAAUCACUUAAAAUCUAUCAUUUGUAGUUAAUAAAUUCGUUUGUUUAUUC